CCUACGGGAGGCAGCAGUGAGGAAUAUUGGUCAAUGGGCGCGAGGCUGAACCAGCCAAGUCGCGUGAGGGAUGACGGUCCUAUGGGUUGUAAACCUCUUUUGUCGGGGAGCAAAGCGCACCACGUGUGGCUCAUUGAGAGUACCCGAAGAAAAAGCAUCGGCUAAACCCGUGCCAGCAGCCGCGGUAAUACGGAGGAUGCGAGGGUUUUCCGGAUUUAUUGGGUUUAAAGGGUGCGCAGGCGGAGGGGCAAGGCAGCGGUCAAAUGGCGGGGCUCAACCCCGUACUGCCGUUGAAACUGCAUCCCUUGAGUGCGCGAGAAGUAUGCGGAAUGCGUGGUGUAGCGGUGAAAUGCAUAGAUAUCACGCAGAACUCCGAUUGCGAAGGCAGCAUACCGGCGCGCAACUGACGCUCAUGCACGAAAGCGUGGGUAUCGAACAGGAUUAGAUACCCCAGUAGUC
rnacentral:rRNA from 1 species